AAUUAAUUCAACAUCGAGGUCACAAACUUAAUUAUUAAUAAGAACUUGCUAAUUAAAUAAUGCUGUUAUCCCUAGAGUAACUUUAUUAAAUUGCUUAAAAAUUUUUCUUAAAAAUUUAUAUCUUUAACCAUUGCCCCAACCAAAAAUUCCUAAAUUUAUAAGCUUCUAGGGUCUUCUCGUCCCAAAAAAUAAUAAAAGCAUUUUUACUUUUAAUUUAAAUUCAAAUUUUUCAUUAAACAAAACUUCCCUUUCAGUCUCUACCUUUCAUCCCAGUUUCCAAUUAAAAAA
rnacentral:rRNA from 1 species